AACCGAGUUAUGUGCCAUCAGUGACGC
rnacentral:sRNA from 1 species